rnacentral:rRNA from 1 species
GGCUCCUUGAAAUAUGAAUUAUAAGGAGUCGGACCUGCCCAGUGAUAAUUUUUAACGGCCGCGGUACUUUGACCGUGCAAAGGUAGCAUAAUCAUUUGCCUUAUAAUUGAAGGCUAGUAUGAAUGGUUUGACAAGAAUAAAACUGUCUCUAUUGUAAUUAUCUAGAAUUUUAUUUUUAGGUGAAGAAGCCUAAAUUUAAUUAAAAGACAAGAAGACCCUAUCGAGCUUUAAAAAAAUUAAUAAAAUAAAGACAUAGUAUGUAAACUCAUGUUUAUUAAAAAUUUUGGUUGGGGCGACUAAGGAACAGAUAAAGCUUCCAAAUAACAUUAUAACUAACAUGUAAUGAUCCAAAAAUUUUGAUCAAAGGAAUUAGUUACCGUAGGGAUAACAGCAUUAUCUUUUUUAAGAGUUCAUAUCGAAAAAAAGGUUUGUGACCUCGAUGUUGGACCAGAAUAUCCUAAAGACGCAGAAGUCUUUGAAGGUUGGUCUGUUCGACCAUUAAAAUUCU